UAGGGAAUAUUGCGCAAUGGGGGAAACCCUGACGCAGCAACGCCGCGUGAGUGAGGAAGGCCCUCGGGUUGUAAAGCUCUGUUAAGAGGGAAGAACGGCAUGGUGGUUAAUACCCAUCAUGUUUGACGGUACCUCUAGAGGAAGCACCGGCUAACUUCGUGCCAGCAGCCGCGGUAAUACGAAGGGUGCAAGCGUUGUUCGGAUUUAUUGGGCGUAAAGCGCGCGCAGGCGGGUGGCCAAGUCAGAUGUGAAAUCUCGGAACUCAAUUCCGAAACUGCGUCUGAAACUGACCACCUAGAGUCUCGGAGGGGGAUGGGGAAUUUCGCAUGUAGGGGUAAAAUCCGUAGAGAUGCGAAGGAACACCUGUGGGGAAGCCGCCAUCCUGGACGAGGACUGACGCUGAGGUGCGAAAGCGUGGGGAGCAAACAGG
rnacentral:rRNA from 1 species